rnacentral:miRNA from 1 species
GACGUCGAAUAUCGACGUCAUAAACACCAAAGUUGAUCGUGUUUAUGACGUCGAAUAUCGACGUCAUAAACACCAAAGUUGAUCGUGUUUAUGACGUCGAAUAUCGACGUCAUAAAUACCAAAGUUGUUCGUGUUUAUGACGUCGAAUAUCGACGUCAUAAACACCAAAGUUGACCGUGUUUAUGACGUCGAAUAUCGACGUCAUAAACACCAAAGUUGUCGUGUUUAUGACGUCGAAUAUCGACGUC